GGAAUGAAGAGAUCAGAAGAUGUGGGGUGGUAGACAUGGCAGAGAAGGUGAGAGAAGCAAGGUUGAGAUGGUAUGGACAUGUAAUAGGGAGAGAUGAAGGAAAGCUGGUCAGAGAUAUUAUGGAAUGAAGAUAUCAUAAGAUGUGGUGUGAUAGACAUUGCAGAGAAGGUGAGAGAAGCAAGGUUGAGAUGGUAUGCAUGUGUAGUAACAAUAGAUGAAGGAAAUCAUUGAAAAACUUUGGGCAAAAUGUCGG
rnacentral:lncRNA from 1 species